AUGAGAGGUUUGGAAGCCAUUAUCCUAACCCAGGAAAAAUCUGCAACAGUUAAACUUGGGCAGAAUGUGAAGAUCCUCUGUGCACCAAGCGGAGGUGACUGGACAUUAACAUGGUACCAGCAGAAGGAUGACGGUGUGAAGUUCUUAUUGGUAGACGGCACAAGAGCAACUCAUUCUCCAUCUCCCCCUGAGCUGGUCCUGCUGGCCCCCUCCCAGGACCUCUCCUCUGGGGACAGGGCCACUGUGGUGUGCCUGGCUCAGGGCUUCUACCCUGAUGGUGCCACCCUGACCUGGUCAGAGGAUGGCAAAGAUGUGGCGGGCACUGAGUUCCAGACGGGCGAGUCUCAGCGCCAGUCUGAUGGCACGUUCUCCCUCAGCAGCGCCCUGACGGUCCAGCCGCAACGCUGGCGCUCUGGGCACACCUACACCUGUCAGCUGAGCCACUCCGCCCUCUCCAGGCCUCUGAGCAAGAGUGUGGCACAGGGACAGUGCAGCUAGAGGGGGAGAGAGCAGGAUCCA